rnacentral:miRNA from 1 species
CCCUCCCUCCCAGGCCCUCCCACCUCCUGGACAGCAUCCAUUGUGAAGCUGCAUUCUUAGUGAGCUGUCCAGGAGGUGGGAGGGUCUGGGAGGGAGGG